CUCUAUUUAUAUAUAUAUAUACACAAUUUGACGCAGAUAUAUUUGUACCUUUUACUCUCCCUCUCGUACACAGACACACUGAAAUGUCAAUAAACCACUACUACUCUUCAGAAGCCCACUGCUGCUCUUCACAUUACGUGAUGGAUUCUUCUUUUCUUUCUUCUUCUAAUCACAAACCCUUUCUCCCUAACUCCACCCCUGCUUUUUGGCUCUCCUCCCCUAAUCACCACCACCCUAUCCCACCCCCCACCGCCUUCAACUUCAACCUCAACCUCAACAAUGAAGAUGACGAGGAUUUGGUCGACGACGACAGAGGUAAUUACGCGCCCAGGGACUUGGAAUUGGAACUGUCUGGCAUCCCCAAGGACCCCUUGUUCGAGAAACCUUUGACGCCCAGCGACGUCGGCAAGCUCAACCGCCUAGUUAUACCCAAGCAACACGCCGAGAAGUAUUUUCCGUUGAAUAAUGGCAUCGACUCUGGUGAGAACGGCUUGCUGUUGACCUUCGAAGAUGAGUUGGGAAAAUCCUGGAGAUUCCGCUACUCUUAUUGGAACAGCAGCCAGAGCUAUGUCCUCACCAAAGGAUGGAGCCGCUUCGUCAAGGAGAAACGGCUCGACGCCGGGGAUAUCGUUGUCUUCGCUCGCCACCGCGGGGACGCUGCCCGCCUCUUCAUUGGCUGGAGGCGAAGGAACUCAGGCGGUGGUGGAGGAGGACUAGACAAUACUACCGCGACUCAGGCGGUUGCUAGCGGCGGCAGUGGGUGGAGCAGGGCAUAUUAUUCGGGGCCUCCUAAUUAUCCGAACCAGAAUCAAGGACCCUCUUCUCUCCAUUACCAAUUACCAGAAUUUGCUCAUGCAGGAUCAGUAGCUGCACAGAACCAAACAACAGGAGGGAGUGGGAGUGGGAGUGGGAAUUCCAAGACGCUGAGGUUGUUUGGGGUGAACCUGGAAUGCCAGGCGGAGGAAUCAGACCCGUCGACGCCAGUGGAUUCGCCGAUGUCUAGCCAGGGACAACCCCACAACCCCACACCGUAUCAUCAUCAUCAUCCUCAAUAUUACUCCAAUCACAUGGAAGAGCCUGUUGUUAGGAUACACACACAACACACAGUGAUGGUGGAGCAAAAGCUGAGCAUUUAAUUUGUGCAGCAGUGAUUUAAUUUAUAAGCGGGAAAAAUGGUCCAUGAGAGGGAUGGGGAUAAUGAUAAAUGAUAUGAUCAGUUUCUCAGGAGAUGUAUAUCGGCAAGGAUAAGAUUUUUGGGAUGUGACGUCCACAAUCUGACCUUGUUCGGCUAUCAUCAGAUCAGUAAUUAAGUAUGGUUGUUUCUUGCAAGAAAAA